rnacentral:rRNA from 1 species
GACGAACGUUGGCGGCGUGCUUAACACAUGCAAGUCGAACGGAAAGGCCCUGCUUUUGUGGGGUGCUCGAGUGGCGAACGGGUGAGUAACACGUGAGUAACCUGCCCUUGACUUUGGGAUAACUUCAGGAAACUGGGGCUAAUACCGGAUAGGAGCUCCUGCUGCAUGGUGGGGGUUGGAAAGUUUCGGCGGUUGGGGAUGGACUCGCGGCUUAUCAGCUUGUUGGUGGGGUAGUGGCUUACCAAGGCUUUGACGGGUAGCCGGCCUGAGAGGGUGACCGGCCACAUUGGGACUGAGAUACGGCCCAGACUCCUACGGGAGGCAGCAGUGGGGAAUAUUGCACAAUGGGCGGAAGCCUGAUGCAGCAACGCCGCGUGCGGGAUGACGGCCUUCGGGUUGUAAACCGCUUUCGCCUGUGACGAAGCGUGAGUGACGGUAAUGGGUAAAGAAGCACCGGCUAACUACGUGCCAGCAGCCGCGGUGAUACGUAGGGUGCGAGCGUUGUCCGGAUUUAUUGGGCGUAAAGGGCUCGUAGGUGGUUGAUCGCGUCGGAAGUGUAAUCUUGGGGCUUAACCCUGAGCGUGCUUUCGAUACGGGUUGACUUGAGGAAGGUAGGGGAGAAUGGAAUUCCUGGUGGAGCGGUGGAAUGCGCAGAUAUCAGGAGGAACACCAGUGGCGAAGGCGGUUCUCUGGGCCUUUCCUGACGCUGAGGAGCGAAAGCGUGGGGAGCGAACAGGCUUAGACACCCUGGUAGUCCACGCUGUAAACGGUGGGUACUAGGUGUGGGGUCCAUUCCACGGGUUCCGUGCCGUAGCUAACGCUUUAAGUACCCCGCCUGGGGAGUACGGCCGCAAGGCUAAAACUCAAAGGAAUUGACGGGGCCCCGCACAAGCGGCGGAGCAUGCGGAUUAAUUCGAUGCAACGCGUAGAACCUUACCUGGGUUUGACAUGGAUCGGGAGUGCUCAGAGAUGGGUGUGCCUCUUUUGGGGUCGGUUCACAGGUGGUGCAUGCCUGUCGUCAGCUCGUGUCGUGAGAUGUUGGGUUAAGUCCCGCAACGAGCGCAACCCUUGUUCACUGUUGCCAGCACGUUAUGGUGGGGACUCAGUGGAGACCGCCGGGGUCAACUCGGAGGAAGGUGGGGAUGACGUCAAGUCCUCAUGCCCCUUAUGUCCAGGGCUUCACGCAUGCUACAAUGGCUGGUACAGAGAGUGGCGAGCCUGUGAGGGUGAGCGAAUCUCGGAAAGCCGGUCUCAGUUCGGAUUGGGGUCUGCAACUCGACCUCAUGAAGUCGGAGUCGCUAGUAAUCGCAAAUCAGCAACGCUGCGGUGAAUACGUUCCCGGGGCC